UUCUCAGGCGACACGCGACAGCACAGACGUUGUAUAGUGAGGCUGCCAUCAGGAUAAAUUGCAAAGUUUCAGUAUCGAGUUUUUGCGAGCAUUUUGGGGAAAAUGAGUCAGUUUACGCAGAAAUUUGCUUGUUUUUCUCUAUUGCCUAAAAUGUUCCCUGUUCCGUUAUAGCCGUUACCUCUUAACGUGAUUGAAACUUGAAACAAGUCAGUCACAUUAAAGAAAGGUUUGAAACAGCCCAUGUGCCCAGCAGAUCACAUUGGUGCAAUAAGUGAGUCAUCUUCCUUAAAAAAAAAAUUUUACAAGAAGAUCACACGAUCACACUACCACUUAGGCUCUUAGCCCCUGAUGCAAUAGCAGCAAGUCUAAGGGUACAGUGUGAUUUUUAAUAUUACCUCUGAUUGUGAAUAACCCGGUGAUGUAGGACAAGUAUGUAACGAAGUAAACUCAAACAUUCAGUGACUGCAACUCCUAUCUAUGUGAAUCUGCCAGACAGAAUUUUCAGUUCACCUAAUAGCAUUUUUAAAGAAGUGAGGAGAACGCUUGUGUGGAAUCGUCGAAAAGCAACCCAGUUUUUGCUAACUUGUUCGUGAAGGUUCAAUGGAGAAAAACGUCGAAAUACCUUUUCAUCCUUUCAUUCAACAGCUUCCACAGUGUGAUCAACAAGAUUAUUGAACUCUGGAAUCUUUGGGUCACGAUCUACAUGGACGCCAAUGCUGGUUCAUUACAAAACUCAUCUUUGUUGCCUAAUAAAGUGAAAUUCUUGAAGAAAUUGGCUUUGGUGAUGGAGGAAAGUCAUACAUGACACUACUCGAGCCCCCAUUAGAUGAACUGUUGCUGCAGUUUUGGCCAAGACGGAAUUUGAAAAGCCCCUCUAUUAGAAGCUGCACUGUCUGAGGCAGGUGACUAACAAGCAUAGUGAUGCAUACCAUUUAAUUGCUUUUUUUUGUUAAUAAUUCGUUAUAUUUUGGCAGCAAAAAUUGCUAGAGAGGAAUUUCAAUCGAUAUCCAAGGUUGAGUAAACUUGUGCUAAUGACAGGAAACUACGCCAGCUUCUACGGUAGUUGCAGAUUACGUGAGCCCGUCGAUGUUCCCAAGUACUAUAAUAUCAUCAAGAAUCCUAUGUACUUGCGAAUGGUUGAAACCAAGACUAGAAAGAGAAGCCACCAAUGAUUUUACGAUUCUUUUCGUAGUAGUUGCUUAUUUCCAGUCAGAUUUGGAAUUCCAUGAAAUGCUGCCGAGGUUGGAUCAUGGACCAUGUUGGCAUAUCAUUCAAUUGGCUGAAGAAGAUCUUGGUUCUCUGGUUCUCUCGAAUGACUCGAAACAACAACUCACACAUCUCGUCCAGGAGUAACUCGCUUAUUUUGGGGAUCCAGCAAAGAAAACCUUCACUCCUCGCUCGAAUUUUCCAGUGGCUAUCCAAAUUAGAUCCACUCACCAUUUGACAUCGAAAACCACUGCUUGUUUCAUUCAAACUGCUGGACAGCCUUCCGGCGAUCGCGAUGGAAAGAGCUGCCAUAUCUUAUCUCAUUAAUUUCAGGGAUUCGCCAUCUGUCAUGCCGGUCUAUUAGAGCAGUAGUGAACGUUUUAGUACAACGGCGAGCAGGAUUGUCCCGCGUCUUUCGGGUGACACACCUUUUUGAGGGGAUAAAAGGACCAAUCGCGAAGGAACCAAGAACCCGGGAACUUUAAAUGGCCGCAAAUCAUGUCCUCCAGACUCCACGGCAGGAAACGUUCCAUCUCCUUCUCGUCCCGG